rnacentral:rRNA from 1 species
GAGUUUGAUCCUGGCUCAGAACGAACGCUGGCGGCAUGGAUUAGGCAUGCAAGUCGAACGAAGUAGCAAUACUUAGUGGCGCAAGGGUGAGGAACACGUGAGUGACCUGCCCGCAAGUUUGGAACAGCUCCUGGAAACGGGAAUUAAUACCGGAUGUGAUCAACGGGCUGCAUGGUUUGUUGAUUAAAGCAGUAAUGCGCUUGCGGAUGGGCUCGCGUCCCAUUAGCUAGUUGGUGAGGUAACGGCCCACCAAGGCCAUGAUGGGUAGCUGGUCUGAGAGGACGACCAGCCACACUGGGACUGAGAACUGCCCAGACUCCUACGGGAGGCUGCAGUCGAGAAUUUUGGGCAAUGGACGAAAGUCUGACCCAGCAAUGCCGCGUGCGGGAUGAAGGUCUUCGGAUUGUAAACCGCUGUUUGGAGGGACGAAAAUUGACGGUACUUCCAGAGAAAGCCACGGCUAACUACGUGCCAGCAGCCGCGGUAAUACGUAGGUGGCGAGCGUUGUUCGGAUUUAUCGGGCGUAAAGGGUCCGCAGGGGGUUGAUUAAGUUUGACGCGAAAUCCCGGAGCUUAACUCCGGAACUGCGUUGAAGACCGGUUGACUAGAGUGUUGGAGAGGUAAUUGGAAUUCCAGGUGUAGCGGUGGAAUGCGUAGAUAUCUGGAAGAACAUCGAGAGCGAAGGCAGAUUACUGGACAACAACUGACCCUCAGGGACGAAAGCAUGGGGAGCAAACAGGAUUAGAUACCCUGGUAGUCCAUGCCCUAAACGGUGUAAACUUGAUGUGAGCGGAAUUACUCCCGUUCGUGUCGAAGCUAACGCGAUAAGUUUACCGCCUGGGAACUACGGCCGCAAGGCUAAAACUCAAAGGAAUUGACGGGGGCCCGCACAAGCGGUGGAGCAUGUGGCUUAAUUCGAGGCAACGCGAAGAACCUUACCUGGGUUUGACAUUUACCCCAACGAUAGUAGAAAUACUAUUACCCGCAAGGGGUGGUAAACAGGUGCUGCAUGGCUGUCGUCAGCUCGUGCCAUGAGGUGUUCGGUUAAGUCCGGCAACGAGCGCAACCCGCGUCAUUAGUUACCAUCAGGUAAAGCUGGGGACUCUAAUGAGACUGCC